rnacentral:rRNA from 1 species
AUUGAACGCUGGCGGCAGGCCUAACACAUGCAAGUCGAGCGGGGUUUUCGGACCUAGCGGCGGACGGGUGAGUAAUGCGUAGGAAGCUGCCCGAUAGAGGGGGAUACCAGUUGGAAACGACUGUUAAUACCGCAUAAUGUCUACGGACCAAAGUGUGGGACCUUCGGGCCACAUGCUAUCGGAUGCGCCUACGUGGGAUUAGCUAGUUGGUGAGGUAAUGGCUCACCAAGGCGACGAUCUCUAGCUGGCUUGAGAGGAUGAUCAGCCACACUGGAACUGAGACACGGUACAGACUCCUACGGGAGGCAGCAGUGGGGAAUAUUGGACAAUGGGCGCAAGCCUGAUCCAGCCAUGCGGCGUGUGUGAAGAAGGCCUUCGGGUUGUAAAGCACUUUCAGCGAGGAGGAAGGGGUGUGUGUUAAUAGUACACACCUUUGACGUUACUCGCAGAAGAAGCACCGGCUAACUCUGUGCCAGCCGCCGCAGUAAUAC